GGCUCGGUAGCUUAGUUGGUAAAGCACUUGUCUAGCGAAUAAGGGUCGUGAGUUCAAAGCUCUCUUAGUUGGUAAAGCACUUGUCUAGCGAAUAAGGGUCGUGAGUUCAAAUCUCACCUGAGCUG
rnacentral:tRNA from 1 species